AUUCAUAAGAGAGUUAAUUAAUGUUACAAAGGGAUAAGAAGAAAGCUUUUUCCAAGUUAAACAUAGCAGAAAGCCCACCAAGAACAAUAGAAAAGCUUGUCGAAAGUGCAGAGUCAAGGAGAAUGUGUGAUGUAUAAGAGACUUAGCUAAUGUUACAAGGAGAUAAGUGUGGAGUAAUGACUUAAAGUUGCUCAAGAAGUGCAUAAAGAGGAAAUGGUCAGAAUAUAAUUAAACAUUUCGUC
rnacentral:lncRNA from 1 species